rnacentral:rRNA from 1 species
UACGUAGGGUGCAAGCGUUGUCCGGAAUUAUUGGGCGUAAAGAGCUCGUAGGCGGUUCGUCGCGUCGGCUGUGAAAUCCCGAGGCUCAACCUCGGGUCUGCAGUCGAUACGGGCGGACUGGAGUUCGGCAGGGGAGACUGGAAUUCCUGGUGUAGCGGUGAAAUGCGCAGAUAUCAGGAAGAACACCCGUGGCGAAGGCGGCUCUCUGGGACGGUACUGACGCUGAGACGCGAAAGCGUGGGGAGCGAACAGG